rnacentral:rRNA from 1 species
GAUGAACGCUGGCGGCGUGCCUAAUACAUGCAAGUCGAGCGAACAGACGAGGAGCUUGCUCCUCUGACGUUAGCGGCGGACGGGUGAGUAACACGUGGAUAACCUACCUAUAAGACUGGGAUAACUUCGGGAAACCGGAGCUAAUACCGGAUAAUAUAUUUAACCGCAUGGUUCAAUAGUGAAAGACGGUUUUGCUGUCACUUAUAGAUGGAUCCGCGCCGCAUUAGCUAGUUGGUAAGGUAACGGCUUACCAAGGCGACGAUGCGUAGCCGACCUGAGAGGGUGGUCGGCCACACUGGAACUGAGACACAGUCCAGACUCCGACGGGGAGACGCAGUAGGGAAUCCUACGCAAUGGGCGAAAGCCUGACGGAGCAACGCCGCGUGAGUGAUGAAGGUCUUCGGAUCGUAAAACUCUGUUAUUAGGGAAGAACAAAUGUGUAAGUAACUAUGCACGUAUUGACGGUACCUAAUCAGAAAGCCACGGCUAACUACGUG